GAUGCUGUAGUUGUCCAAAAACCAGAUGAGCACCGCAUUGGUGCACCCGCGGAUGUAGAUGACAUCUUGGAUACUCAAGCGCUCUUGGUCAAUGGUCUUGUAUCCACACAUGGUGUUGAUAAUGUCUGUCUUAUUCCGGACACAACACGUGUAAGGCACUCCACAGGCCAGCGGUCCCGGAGCAGCACAGUCGUGGUACGCAUUCUUCGACCAAUCCGUGUA
rnacentral:lncRNA from 1 species